rnacentral:lncRNA from 1 species
UUCCUUAGCUUUGCAACUAUUAGCAGGCCGAGUCGUAUCACAUUGAGGUUGAACUGUUAUGGGUUGAUUCUGCUUGCAGGAUCCGUCUGAAGGUGAUUCUGGGUCACCGUCUUCAUGGAUCAUAGACCAGAGUCCAUCAUGCAACAUGUUCAGAUCCGCCCAUUCUCCCUGCAGCUCUCCUAACGGUUCCAGCGCGGAUGAAGGGGGCCCCACGGAGGACGGGUCCAGUUAUCCAGGGUGGAGGGAGCAGGUGGAGUCGUCGGCCAGAGGACGGAGGCCCGAGAGUCUCGAGCACACGGCUGAAGAGAAACACAGAAGGAUGGAGGAGAGGAAAACAAAGGUGCUGAACAUGCUUUCCAAACUGCAGGACGACACGCCUCGUCAGCCAAACGGCAACAAAGGUCACUCCAACUUCGAGGAAUUCGACUUUUUGGCAAAGUAUUGCAUUUUCAGUCAGGAGAAGCUGGCGGAGUACAAAAGAGCUUUUGAAGCAGAGGACGGUGAUGGUGACGGCUACAUCUCCUGCCUUCAGGUUCUACUCGCUCUAAAAAACAUCAUUCCUCCAGAGCUGCUGUCUGACGAAGAAGAGAUCUACGUUUACAGGGUCUGCUUUACUGCGUCUGAAACAUGCAAAUACACAUAUAUAUAUGUGUAUAUAUGUGCACAUAUAUACACAUAUAUACGUGCAUAUAUAUGUGCAUAUAUAUAUAUAUAUAUAUAUAUAUAUAUGCACAUAUAUGUGCACAUAUAUAUGCACAUAUAUACGUGCAUAUAUAUAUGUGUAUAUAUGUGUAUAUAUGUGUAUAUAUGUGUAUAUAUGUAUAUAUAUACA